CCCGUUUUGUGCUUGAAGACCCCCCUCUAAAAAAAUACCCUCCGCACCCUUGCUAUUUUUUUUUUUUUUUUUUUGGCGGACGCCAGAAAAAGGGCUUGAUAGGCUCCAUUACUACACUACUCUCGGCCCCCCCCGCCAUUUUUUUUUUUUUUUUUUUUUGAAACCCCAACAACGGAAAGAGCGAAAAAAAAUAGCUCCCAAAAAAGCCCGUCCCCCCCCCCUCAAAAAAAACCCCAACCCCGCCCCCCUAUCCGGUAAUUGGGGCGCACGUACGCGGAAACUGGUCCGAAUUUGCGAUACUUGGUGUGAAUAUGCGAUACUUGGUGUGAUUAUGCGAUAGCUGUGUGAAUUGCAGAAUCCCGUGAACCAUCGAGUCUUUGAACGCAAGUUGCGCCUGAAGCCACUAGGUUGAGGGCACGUCUGCCUGGGCGUCACACAAUGUGUCGCCCCCUUGCAGCUCGCCUUGCACAGGAUGAGUGUUGCUAAUGGGGGCGGAUAAUGGCUUCCCGUGCGUAGGUGCGGCCGGCCUAAAUUGUAGUCCCUCAUCUCACGGGGUCACAACAAGUGGUGGUUGAAAAGCUUAAACAAGUUGUGCACACCAUGCGAUGGAGGUGAUGUUUUGGACCCUAAGGCGAUCCCUCUACUGUGAGGAGCGUUCGUCACGACUGCGACCCCAGGUCAGGCGGGGCUACCCGCUGAGUUUAAGCAUAUCAUAAGCGGAGGAACUAGAUU
rnacentral:rRNA from 1 species